rnacentral:lncRNA from 8 species
AUGUUGAAGGUUCUGUGUUUUGCUUGGGCUAUUUUUGGCUCUGGUGCUGACAUUGAUUUGCAUAGUGUGCAGUGCCCCAUUGCAAGGCCUUCUGGGAGAGUUCCUCAGCAGAAGCAGAUCCUAGCUUAUCCCAACCAGUGGAGUCUGAGGGGCUGGCAGAAGCUCAAAGUGGAGCAGCACCCACAGCUGAAGGUAACUCUCUGUCUGUCUGUCUGUCUGUCUGUCUGUCUGUCUGUCUGUCUGUCUGUCUGUCUGUCUGUCUGUCUGUCUGUCUGUCUGUCUGUCUGUCUGUCUGUCUGUCUGUCUGUCUGUCUGUCUGUCUGUCUGUCUGUCUGUCUGUCUGUCUGUCUGUCUGUCUGUCUGUCUGUCUGUCUGUCUGUCUGUCUGUCUGUCUGUCGCAGCACCCACAGCUGAAGGUAACCCCCCUCUCUCCUUUUCUCUCUUUAUGGCUCCUCCCCCUCUUUUUCUCCUUUCACUAAUCAUGAUUUACUAUAGGAGUGUACAUGAGCUGUAAACACACACACACACAUAUUUACUUGUUAUCAGUUCGUACAGCUGUUUACUGUCAGACGGACAAAUUGACUGACAGACGGACUCCCCUUAUCUCGAUCUGAAGAGUAGUUGUUCACGUUAAUCUGAACCCAGUGUGGUGUGACAGAGCACAGAAUCUCUGGAAAGAACAUUCCAGGCCUCCAGACCCGCCCUGGCCUAAAACCUCUCCCCAAAAGGCUCUGCAGAGACCUGCUUCUUCUCAAGUGCAAUGAUGUCCUUGACUCUCCUGUUUCUUGAGUGUGUCUGUAUGUGUCCCCAAUGACUCCCUCAUUUAAUGCACUAUAUAGGGAAUAGGGUGCCUUUUGGGACACAGCCUCGGUUUCUCGGUUAAAGAUGCACUAUGCAGAAAUCGCUCCGCUAUUUCCUGGUUCCUAAAAUCAAAUCAAAUGUCAGUUUGUGACAAAACAAGCGAGUGUAGUGUAGAAAGAGUAAUUGUACCAUCUAAACCGCUGUGAAAUAUCUUUUCCAUAACCAAUAAUAUUGUAUUUUCUGCUCUUUUGAAGCUGGUUUACGUAACCAAAAGUAAAAUACGUUAAAAAAAAACCGGGAAGCAUACAUAUUACGCAUAUAGAACAUAUCUACCGCUUCUUAGACUUGCUUUCGAUGACAGAUCUAUGACACACAUUUCUAUGUGAAUUUGGUUAGGUCGCCCAAAAAGUUACAUAUUACAGCUGUAAGAAAAUCUCUCGUUUGAUUCACUACGCAGUUCAAUGGAAGGGCCCGGGUCGAGAUUAAGUUUCAAGUUUUAAUGUUACGUGCACAAGUACAGUGAAAUGCAUUUCUUCGAAGCUAUAAACCCAACAAUGCAGUAAUCAAAGUAAAUGUAGUACUAAAAAUAACACAAUGUAGAACAAAAACACCAGAGAAAUAGAAAUAUGGAGAACAGGAGAACCUACCAUAUUAACAAUGUGCAGGAAUACUGGAGUGAUAGAGGUAGAUAUGUAUAGGGGUAAGGUGACCUAUAUACAGGGUCAGUACCAUAUUAACAAUGUGCAGGAAUACUGGAGUGAUAGAGGUAGAUAUGUAUAGGGAUAAGGUGAGUAGGCAUCAGCAUAUAUGAUAAACAGAUUAGCAGCAGAGUAAAUUAUGAUUUUGUGUGUGUGUGUGUGUGUGUGUGUGUGUGUGUGUGUGUGUGUGUGUGUGUGUGUGUUAGCUAUUUAGCAGUCUUAUGGCUUGGGGAUAGAAGCUGUUCAGGAGCCUGUUGGUGUACCGCAUGCCGUGUGGAAGCAGAGAGAGCAGUCUAUGGCUUGGGUGGUUGGAGUCUUUAAUGAUUUUCCGGGCCUUCCUUUCACACUGCCUGUUAUAGUUGUCCAGGAUAGCAGGGAGCUCGGCCCAAGUGAUCUACUGGGCUGUCCGCACCACCCUCUGUAGCACCAUGCAAUCGAGAACGGUGCUAUUUCUAUACCAAGCAGGGAUGCAGCCAGUGAAGAUGCUCUCAAUGGUGCAGCUUUAUAACUUUUUGAGGAUUUGAGGGCUCAUACCAAACCUUUUCAGCCUCCUGAGGGGGAAGAGGUGCUGUCGCGCCUUCUUCACGACUGUGCCCGUGUUCGUGGCCCAUUUUAAGUCCUCAGUGAUUUGGACAUCGAGGAACUUGAAGCUCUCGACCCGUUCCACUGCACCCCCGUCGAUGUGGAUGGAGGCGUGCUCGCCUCCCCGUGUCCUGUAGUCCAUGAUCAGUUCCUUGGUCUUACUGACAUUGAGGAAGAGGUUAAUUUCCCGGCACCACACUGCCAGGUCUCUGACCUCCUCCCUGUAGGCUGUCUCAUCGUUGCCGGUGAUCAGGCCUACCACCGUCGUGCCGUCAACAAACCUGAUAAUGGUUUUGGAGUCGUGCGCGGCCACGCAGUCAUGGGCGAACAGGGAGUACAGGAGGGGACUAAACACACACCCCUGUGGGACCCCCGUGUUGAAGGUCAGCGUGGCGGCACGGGAAACUGCAAAAUGAAAGCCUUUUGGAGUUGAACAGAGCUCCCAUCCCUUUGCAGCAGGGCCUUCACAGCUCAUCUCAUCCCAUGCUUAAGUUCAGAAGAGGCUGCUGGGGAGGAGCUAUAGGAGGACGGGCUCAUUGUAAUGGCUGGAAUGGAGUCAACCACAUCAAACACAUGGCAACCACAUGUUGGACUCCAUUCCAUUCCAUGAACACAUCCUACUAUGGCUCCUCCAUCCAGCCUCCUCUGCCUCAAUUACUCUGGGUGAUUGCAGACGAGGGAAGCCGUUAUGUCGGAAUAAAGCGUUUGUUCUGAUAGUCCCUUUAGCACUUUGUCCCCCCCCCAUCCCCCCCAUCCCCAUUCUAAUCUGGAUCCUAGAGGGGAGGCGUGUAGCGGAGCCCCC